rnacentral:lncRNA from 1 species
UUUCGAUUUUUUAAUUCUUAGAUCAAUCCCUUUAAUCGUUUCUUAUCUUUGGAUUAAUAUUAUUAUUACCUUGUAGGGACCACUCAAUCCUAAGACAGCGUUUGGUUAGGGGAUAGGGAUAGGAAUAGGCCCUUAUCCCCCCUUUAUACCCAAACGCUAAUUUUUUAUCCGAUAAUAGUAGUUCUCGGUUAUCCUCACCAACACCUCCAAUUUUUAUAUAAAACUAUCUAAAAUUAUUCUUAUCUCCGGGAACAACCCAAUUUUCAUCCAAACACUAUUUUUCUUAUCCCCAUAUUUGUACCUAUCCCUGUAAUAGCUAGUUCUUACUUAUACCCGAACCAAACAGUACCUACGAGUAUUAUU